rnacentral:rRNA from 1 species
GAUGAACGCUAGCGGCAGGCCUAACACAUGCAAGUCGAGGGAGAAGCCCUUUCGGGGGCAGAAACCGGCGCACGGGUGCGUAACGCGUAUGCAACCUACCUUUCACAGGGGGAUAGCCCGAAGAAAUUUGGAUUAAUACCCCAUAAUAUUAUUGGAUGGCAUCAUUUGAUAAUUAAAACUGCGGUGGUGAAAGAUGGGCAUGCGUCCUAUUAGCUAGUUGGAGUGGUAACGGCACCCCAAGGCUACGAUAGGUAGGGGUUCUGAGAGGGAGAUCCCCCACACUGGUACUGAGACAGGGACCAGACUCCUACGGGAGGCAGCAGUGAGGAAUAUUGGUCAAUGGUCGGAAGACUGAACCAGCCAUGCCGCGUGCAGGAAGAAUGCCUUAUGGGUUGUAAACUGCUUUUAUAUGGGAAGAAUAAGACAUACGUGUACGUUGAUGACGGUACCAUAUGAAUAAGCAUCGGCUAACUCCGUG